UACGUAGGGGGCAAGCGUUGUCCGGAUUUAUUGGGCGUAAAGAGCUCGUAGGCGGUUUGUCGCGUCUGCUGUGAAAACGCGAGGCUCAACCUCGCGCCUGCAGUGGGUACGGGCAGACUAGAGUGCGGUAGGGGAGAUUGGAAUUCCUGGUGUAGCGGUGGAAUGCGCAGAUAUCAGGAGGAACACCGAUGGCGAAGGCAGAUCUCUGGGCAGUAACUGACGCUGAGGAGCGAAAGCGUGGGGAGAGAACAGG
rnacentral:rRNA from 1 species